rnacentral:rRNA from 1 species
AGUGGCGAACGGGUGAGUAACGCGUGGAUGAUCUACCUACGAGAUGGGGAUAACUAUUAGAAAUAGUAGCUAAUACCGAAUAAAGUCAAUUAAUUUGUUAAUUGAUGAAAGGAAGCCCUUAAAGCUUCGCUUGUAGAUGAGUCUGCGUCUUAUUAGCUAGUUGGUAGGGUAAAUGCCUACCAAGGCGAUGAUAAGUAACCGGCCUGAGAGGGUGAACGGUCACACUGGAACUGAGAUACGGUCCAGACUCCUACGGGAGGCAGCAGCUAAGAAUCUUCCGCAAUGGGCGAAAGCCUGACGGAGCGACACUGCGUGAAUGAAGAAGGUCGAAAGAUUGUAAAAUUCUUUUAUAAAUGAGGAAUAAGCUUUGUAGGAAAUGACUAAGUGAUGACGUUAAUUUAUGAAUAAGCCCCGGCUAAUUACGUGCCAGCAGCCGCGGUAAUACGUAAGGGGCGAGCGUUGUUCGGGAUUAUUGGGCGUAAAGGGUGAGUAGGCGGAUAUAUAAGUCUAUGCAUAAAAUACCACAGCUCAACUGUGGAACUAUGUUGGAAACUAUAUGUCUAGAGUCUGAUA